AGCGAACGCUGGCGGCAGGCCUAACACAUGCAAGUCGAACGAAGCCUUCGGGCUUAGUGGCGGACGGGUGAGUAACACGUGGGAACGUACCUUUUGGUUCGGAACAACUCAGGGAAACUUGAGCUAAUACCGGAUGAGCCCUUAGGGGGAAAGAUUUAUCGCCGAAAGAGCGGCCCGCGUUAGAUUAGCUAGUUGGUGAGGUAAAGGCUCACCAAGGCUACGAUCUAUAGCUGGUCUGAGAGGAUGAUCAGCCACACUGGGACUGAGACACGGCCCAGACUCCUACGGGAGGCAGCAGUGGGGAAUCUUGCGCAAUGGGCGAAAGCCUGACGCAGCCACGCCGCGUGAAUGAUGAAGGUCUUAGGAUCGUAAAAUUCUUUUACCAGGGACGAUAAUGACGGUACCUGGAGAAAAAGCCCCGGCUAACUUCGUGCCAGCAGCCGCCGUAACAC
rnacentral:rRNA from 1 species